UACGUAGGGGGCGAGCGUUGUCCGGAUUUAUUGGGCGUAAAGAGCUCGUAGGCGGUUCGAUAAGUCGGACGUGAAAUCUCCACGCUCAACGUGGAGGGGCCGUUCGAUACUGUCGUGACUCGAGUCCGGUAGGGGAGUGUGGAAUUCCCGGUGUAGCGGUGAAAUGCGCAGAGAUCGGGAGGAACACCCAUAGCGAAGGCGGCACUCUGGGCCGGUACUGACGCUGAGGAGCGAAAGCGUGGGGAGCAAACAGG
rnacentral:rRNA from 1 species